rnacentral:rRNA from 1 species
UACAGAGGGUGCAAGCGUCAAUCGGAAUUAUUGGGCGUAAAGCGCACGUAGGUGGGCUGAUAAGUUGGAUGUGAAAGCCCUGGGCUCAACCUGGGAAUUGCAUUCAAGACUGUCAGUCUAGAGUAUGGGAGAGGGAAGUGGAAUUUCUGGUGUAGCGGUGAAAUGCGUAGAUAUCAGAAGGAACAUCAGUGGCGAAGGCGACUUCCUGGCCUAAUACUGACACUAAGGUGCGAAAGCGUGGGGAGCAAACAGG